rnacentral:rRNA from 1 species
AGUGAACGCUGGCGGUAGGCCCAACACAUGCAAGUCGAACGGCAGCACAGGAGAGCUUGCUCUCUGGGUGGCGAGUGGCGGACGGGUGAGGAAUACAUCGGAAUCUACUUUUUCGUGGGGGAUAACGUAGGGAAACUUACGCUAAUACCGCAUACGACCUACGGGUGAAAGCAGGGGACCUUCGGGCCUUGCGCGAUUGAAUGAGCCGAUGUCGGAUUAGCUAGUUGGCGGGGUAAAGGCCCACCAAGGCGACGAUCCGUAGCUGGUCUGAGAGGAUGAUCAGCCACACUGGAACUGAGACACGGUCCAGACUCCUACGGGAGGCAGCAGUGGGGAAUAUUGGACAAUGGGCGCAAGCCUAAUCCAGCCAUACCGCGUGGGUGAAGAAGGCCUUCGGGUUGUAAAGCCCUUUUGUUGGGAAAGAAAUCCAGCUGGCUAAUACCCGGUUGGGAUGACGGUACCCAAAGAAUAAGCACCGGCUAACUUCGUGCCAGCAGCCGCCGUAA